AUUCUAAUUGCUAAUUGGUUUUUAUUGGCAACAUGACUGGUGAUGUUGGCUUCCACACUAUAAUGAAUAUGCCCCUUGGACUAAUACAACUGCAUAAAGAGUUUAAUAACCUGACGUAUUGACGUUAAGAUCUCCUACAACACUUUGAAAGGUUUAUAUCUCAAAUCGCUCUAUGAUAUUGGAGAACCUAUCACUGGCUUUCAGCUUUUUCUCAACACUUUAAAAAUGCUCUGUUAUAUUCAGUAAUUUUGGGACUGUGAGGUUGUGGACUGUAUUGUCAAAUACUUUUGUAGUUCAACUCCUUCACCAUAAGAUGGCACCAUAACACCAAAUAAUCUUGUAAAGGUGAUGUUUUAUUACUGUGCAGCUAAAUAUUUCUCUUUACAAGUAUUUUCCUCCACAUUACUGUGCCACUUAACUUUCUCCUGGAUUACAACUUCAUUUAUCUUUAAUGAUGAAAGAAAAAAGCAAAACCUCUCCCUUCCUUUAUCCACAAAACCAAUUGUCGCUUUCUUGAAACAACAAAUUGGUUGUUUGAUACAAUCUGCACACAACUCGGAUGGGACGGAAGCGGAAUCUGCAAUUCCCACUUCCCAAACUACUCAAACAAGUCCUCUAACUUUGGACCAAUCUGACAGUGUUCUAGUGGUGUUCCAGUCAUUAAUGGACAAGGCUACUGCACAAAUCACUACUGUUUCUGAGAAAGAUAAAGAAUUGGCAAGACACACAGAUACACUCGAAUCAAGGAUGGACAAUACAAAAAUUGACUUAAUUAAGUAAUUGAAUUAAACAACAGGUUCUGAACCUCCAAUUGAAAUUAGAAUACCUGGAGAACAGGUUUUGUCGAGAUAAGAAAACGAGGAAUUCCAGAAUCUUAUAAGCACUUGGAGUCAGAAUUGCAAGAAUGCUUUACCAUUUACCAUCUCAGUUUCUGCACAUCGAUCAGAUCCCCAGAUCUCACAAGAUCUGCUAUCACUGGGGUUUCCCUUGAAAUUGAUAUUUACACGUAAUGGCAAGUCAUUUUCCCACCCUACACCGAAUAAGACCAAGGAAGCUCUCCAGUCUGCUGGAUGUACUAAUGCCUUACCAACUAAACUGAGUACAGCUCCAUGUACCCUGCAAUCAUCGGGUUGGCCAUCGCCAGAAAGACCUUCUCCUUCACAAUUCCCUUUACCUCAAAGUGCUACAAAGUACAGUGCUCGUUCCAGGGAUCAGCAGCUUCAUUCAAUUUUAGACUUUUCUCUCAUCAUUUCCAGGAAGAAGGAAUGCAUCAAAUCAGCAUGUUAAAUUCAGGAAAUGGCUUUAUUUAUGGCAAGUUUGGUAACAAUGAAAAUUGUCCUCCAAAUGAUUUAUCUGAAGGUCAAGGAGUGGAGGAGAAAGCAAUGGUGUCCUACUGUGGGUCUUUGGAACAGAACCUUAGUAACAUGGCCGCUUUGUAUCUGCAAUGCCUCUCGGAUAAAAUCUCAUUUCUUAUCCAAAUUGUUAUUAACUAAAUUCUAAAAAGGAGAACCCUGAUUGGUCUGCAGGGUCUGGAGGAGACAUAACACGCACUUUGAUAUUCUCUUGAAGUUCUCUGAGGACUUUGCAACAUUAGUAAGCAGUGUAUUGGGAACAACCCUAGUGAGGGAAAAGGGGAGGAUCAUUUUCCAAACCCAGAGAUUAUAUACAUGAAUUAUAUGGGUAGCCUCUCCUCUUAAAGGAGAACCACAGACUAAUCCCUACCUGCAAAGAAAUAUUUAGGGGAAAUAAUAUAUAAACAGUAUUUUGUAUUAUUUUGUGAAGAGACAUGCCUCCCCUUUAAGUGGGAGUGGAAGUUGUACCUGUUGGGCAGAGGAGCAGCCUAUGUGCAAUUUGUCUUAAAUGACUGUGUGUUUCCCACAAACACAUUUGGUCUAAUUUACCCUUUCUCUUGUGGAGAGACAUUUAUCCGCCCCCAAUGUACUCUGGGACAGUGCUGCCUAUCAUACGCCCCUCCUUCAGUGGCAUCCCAUGUGCCGGCCUAUAGACUCACAUAGCAGCACAUCACAAUAAAACCCAGUAGCAGUUUUCUUUAAUACAUUUUUGUAAUUUAUUAUAUAUGUAUUUUUACAAUCUUGGGCUUUUUGUAGUUGAUUUUGCUUUGGGUGUUUGAGGCAUUACACAUUAUUAUACACUUUGGUUCAUUUGCCAAUAUGCAUUACUCCAUUUAGUAACCUCCCCCAGGUAAUUGAAAUCAGUCUCCUCUUAGCACAAAUCCAGUUCCGCUUCCUGCUUCCGGCUGUUCCAUUUCACAUUCCCAAGCAGAGGGGCGGGGCUUAACCCAGAAUGAGAGUCGCUGAAAGCCUUUCACACCCGACUGAGUUCUAUGGAGCGCUGGAGAGCUGAAGCAGGUUUGGACAGCAGGGGGCGCUGCUCUUUCAUUCACUCACUUUUAUUACUGCAGCAGUGAGACUUCCGGAAGCUUUCUCUGUUGGUUCCAAGUUCCGGCCUCUGCCUUGUAUUGUGAAAAAGAAGAAAUCAGUAGAAGGAGGGUCAGAUUGGAGGGGGUUCUCUGGCCUCUGCUGCAGCCACCGCCCCACAUUCAUCCUAACAACCUUGGGCAGAAAACCAGAAAAAUACAAUUACCAGAAAAGGUAAAAAGCAACUCAGACACAGGGGGAAGAUAGAAUCUCCUAGAGCUCCAUGAGGCGUGAGAACCUUGCUUCUGGGGCAGCAUUGCUGAGGCGGGGCAAUGACCAGACGUUGGACCUUCAUGGAGUGACUCGGUCAAAGGUUGAACCUUUUGAGAGGAGCUUGAACUGAUAAUUCUGACUGGCUGAAAAGCACUGCCCUAAGUCUUUCAGGCAUUUCUGGAGUUAAUGGACUGCGUAUUCCCCAUUUUCCAGCAACAAUAUGACAUGUGUGGAGUUAAUGGAAUGCUUAU